CCAUCCAUCAAGUCCAUGCACGCCUCUCCUUUACAGCUAGCACCAGAACAUCAAAGACCAUCCUUCUCUCAUCCUAUCCAUCCAAUCUAUCUUGCAUUUAUGUCCAUAGGAUCUAGGUUUAUUCUUUGAUACAUGUAAAGGCAUAUAUAAGCCUUAGAUGACGUUUUGUAACACAAAAGGGAGUAAGGGGGAUUUCCCCUCUCCACUUCAUGAAUGAUAAACUUGUUCUUGAAUCUAAAACCCUAAUCUCUAAUCUCUUAUUCUCCUAAUCUCUCAGUCUCUUAAUCUAUGUUCCUAAGUCUCUUAUUCUCUCAUAAACACUCAUC
rnacentral:lncRNA from 1 species